AUCUUUCUUACAGUGUUUUAUUUGAAAUUAACUACUGCUCAAAGGGUGUCAAAGUUCAGGGAGUUAUUGGCCCUUGCGCAUCUCUCGAAAAGGUAUCAUUCAAAAGUGUGAUGGGAUCUUUGAUUCAUUAAGUUCGUUGUGAUGAAGAAGUUUACUUUCUGAUGAUUGUUUCCGGACCAUUAUGAGCCUCUGAUACUGGCAUCGGUCAAGGGCCACACAAGCGCUUGGAAGUUUACUUUCUGAUGAUUGUUUCCCCCUCUCCGUCCAUAUGUUUGGUUUUUGAAAUUGCUAAGAGGGAGACAGCUGAUGUCGUUUUGCAGUCGCUGAUCAAUCAGUUAUAUUCCAGUUUUUAACAUAUUAUCAUCACUCAAAUGGUCAAACAAGGCUCUGGGUUACAACUCUUUCAAGAAGAUGGGUCAUGGGAACUGAAAAAUUACUGGCAAGUUUUGAGUUAUAUUCGAGAGGUCAAAGGAGGUUGCGGCUAAGGAAGUCGAGAGUCGCCCUCCUCUUCAGGCAGCAGAUUCAACUUGAAGUUGUCCUCAAAUUCAACUUAAAGUUGUCAUCCUCGUCCGAGCUUCAAUGUUCCU